CCCCAAUCUCCAUUACAGACUUGCAGAGUCAUUCACAUUCAUUUUCUCUUAUUAAAUCAACUUCUCUGCUGAAGGGGGGAAAAAAAAUCACUUAUCUUGAAAAAAGACUCAAAAUCUCAGAAAUUAUAAUCCAAUGAGUCUUAUCCCAACGCCGGGAAAAAUGGGUAAAAAGCCAUCAAAGAGAGUCAUAAAAUCUCCCAGGGAGAUUUUAUAGUGACAGGGACAGAUCAGUAACGCUUCUGCCAAAGGAAAUCACUGCUCAGCAGUAGGGCACACAUGGCACCAAAGUGACAGCCCACGUAGAGCCACCCACUGGGACACCCCAACACCCAUUGCAAUGAGAGGUGGUGCAGUGCUGCUGCAGCCACCUCUUCUGUCCCCUAAUUACAGCCUCUCUUCAUCACUCCCAAUGUCACGGAAUCAUUGAAUCAUGGAAUCAUUCCAGUUGGACAAGACCUCUAAGAUCACCCAACCUUGCCCCCACAGUGCCCACCGAUCAUGUCCCAGGGUGAUGGGACCCAGCGUGGUGGGAAGAAGGGUGAUGGGACCCGGGGUGAUGGGAUCCAGAGUGACAGGACAUAGAGUGGUGGGGCACAGUGAGGUAGGACCUGUGGCAUUGGGAUCCAUGGUGGUAGGAAGAAGGAUGAUGGGACCUAUGGUGAUGGGACCCAUGGCAGUGGGACCCAGGGUGAUGGGAUCCAGAGUGAUGGGACCCAGCGUAGUGGGAAGAAGGGUGCUGGGACCCAGGGUGGUGGGAUCCAGGGCCAUGGGAAGCAGGAUGAUGGGACCUAUGGUGCUGGGAUCCAUGGCAGUGGGACCCAGGGCAGCGCAUGAGGAAAGGGCUUGAAGAAAACAAGCGGCCCAAGGCAUGGAAGGGCAGGAAGGGGGAAGUGGGACACAGGGCUCCUGGCAUGGGGUGAAAGUCCAACUCCACAAUGGGGUUGUGGGGCUGCUCUCCCUGUCCUCAGGGCCAGGGCUGCUGCAGCCAGGGGCCACUUCUGAAGUCAUUUUUCCAAGCUCUGUCCUCUGGGCCUUCUCUCAUCCUCUUUCCUCUUCCUGGAAAGCUGUUUCAGAUCCUUCUCUGAUAUCAUGGAGCACAAUGGCCUAAUUUCUAGCCCACACAUUCACGGCUUGUUUCCCCUAUCCAUGUGACAGCAUUAUCUGCUGGCCGGCACAGAUCCUCUCCCCUCCUUUGUUUGUAUGAGUAUCACAGGCAGCAAUCAGACCCACACUCCAACUCCACUCUGCAGGCUGAGCAGCUGACGCAAUGUCCUCCUGCACAGCACAGCCCUGCCCAGAUUGGGGCUGCAGCCCUGGGGAUGCUCUGGGCACAGCCUGGAGCCACACGCAGGGAACGAAGCAGAGCUCCAAAUGAGAGCCCUGCACAGCUCGUGCCUUGCUGGGCUUCAAACCCACACCUCCACCACACACAUCACAGGGAGCGCUCAGUUCUGGUGCAAGCAGCAGUCUUGCAAACAUUCUGCUAUGGAGCAGAGGAAAGGAAACAGGGAUAAUAGCAGCUGGCACC
ensembl:lncRNA